CCUACGGGCGGCAGCAGUCGAGAAUCAUUCACAAUGGGGGAAACCCUGAUGGUGCGACGCCGCGUGGGGGAAUGAAGGUCUUCGGAUUGUAAACUCCUGUCAUGUGGGAGCAAAUUAAAAAGAUAGUACCACAAGAGGAAGAGACGGCUAACUCUGUGCCAGCAGCCGCGGUAAUACAGAGGUCUCAAGCGUUGUUCGGAAUCACUGGGCGUAAAGCGUGCGUAGGCUGUUUCGUAAGCCGUGAGUGAAAGGCGCGGGCUCAACCCGCGGACGGCACAUGAUACUGCGAGACUAGAGUAAGGGAGGGGGAAGCGGAAUUCUCGGUGUAGCAGUGAAAUGCGUAGAUAUCGAGAGGAACACUCGUGGCGAAGGCGGGUGCCUGGACAUUAACUGACGCUGAGGCACGAAGGCCAGGGGAGCGAAAGGGAUUAGAUACCCCAGUAGUC
rnacentral:rRNA from 1 species